rnacentral:tRNA from 1 species
GGAAGAGAAGGUUCCCCGGUGGGAUGGCCGGUCUUCAAAACCGGCAGGGGUCGCCAUGCGGUCCCGGGUGGGUUCGACUCCCGCUCUUUUCCGCCA